ensembl:lncRNA
AUCUUAAAUGAAAUCUGUGUCUCUUCAUAUUCCCCAAGGAGCAUCAGAGUUUUCACUGUUUUCCUUCCUGUUUUGUUGGUUUUCUUUUUUAUUUUUCAUCACCGAGCUGCAAAAUGAAGAGUUGCAUUUUCCUGUAGUGAAGGGCUAUGCAAUACAACCUCAAGCCUAAAAACUAUACUCAAAGAGAAGGAAAGAGAGCAGUGGUGCUUUGACCUUCAGUGUAGGCACCUUGGCACUAGAGGCAGCAAUAGGCUUGCUUUCAGUAUGUCUACAACUUUGAAGAUCUGCAGAACCAUCAACCAAAUGCUCAAGAAACUGCAGUGCUCCCAGCACCCUUUCCUCCAUAUGCCUCACAGUGAUGCAAGUUGGAAGUGCACUUACUUCGAAGAUUCCCAAGUUGAUGAAUCAGAGUCUGCAUACAACAGCGCUUCACAACAAACAUUACCAGGAGGCCAGCCUCAUUCUCUCUUGGCAUUUUUACAAAGCCGUGGCAACGUAAACAAAGAUUCAUAACGGCCAGAACAGAGAUCACUUAGCAGCUUGAAGUAUCUAUGUAGGAAAGUCACAUACACAUAAACAUUUGGCCCAUACGGUUAUAAGCGGAGAUAGAUAAACAGCAAAUGCUCUUUUGGGACACCACUUAGGCUCAGCGUUAGGGAAUUUGAAUGUGAGGGAUCUCUUUCCAUACUGGUCACUUGAAGUGACCUAUUUUUCUUUUUCCAGCAGUACCGAGCAACUUCUGAAAAAAAAAAAGUCAGCAUGUCUCUUUCUGCUGCUUCCUACUUUGUUUAACUAAAGUGGCGCGUGACGUGAUGAGUACACACACAAAUCAGGUCAUCUGCUUGUUGGAGCCCAAAUGAAAAAAGAACGAAUCCCUCCAAAGUUCCAGCAAACGCCAACCCUCUAAAAACCCAACGACUUGGCUCCAUCUUCGGCGGAGGUGGCUGUGAGGCUGUCGAGCAGAACUUUCUAAAAUUCAGCGCUUCGUUUUCAUUAACGCUCUCCUCUGCAUUGCUGUCUAGACACCAAACCAAAAUGAGGUUACCCAGAGCAGAAGCAUGUAAUAAGGGACAUUUCUUGUCCUCAGAAGCUUCCUGUCUGCAUCGGUGAGGCAAGUGGCAGGAGAAUGGAAGCCUAACUAAUCAGAUCCCUCCUCUACCACCACCUUCAAGAGACGACACUGAGAGAGGGCUGAUAACAAAACGAUCUAGGUUGUGAUAAAAAGGAAAAAAAGCAACUCAAAAUGUGGAUGGCAUUUUUGAAUGUAGUCAAACACCUAGCAGUGCUGGGAAUGGCACUUGUUGCAGCCUUAUGCGCUUGACCUGCAUCUCCCACGGGCAUUUGAGGAUUCUGUAACCAGCCCUGUGGGUUCCUGGCCACAGGUAGCCCCAAGGGAAAGCCUCAUGGCUCCUGCUAGUGAGCCUACAGUCACAGACACUGCCUUUGCCCAAGAACUGCUGUCCUUGAUGGAGUACUGCCUGCUUCUCCUUGCCCAUGGGGAGCUGAGAAAAGAGGCAGCAGGCAUUCAUGCAGUUGCAGAUGGGACUGGGGGGGGGGGGGGGGGGGGGGGGGGGGGGGUCUGUGCCCUCUUCGCAGUUGUCAAGUGAGUUCUUCACACCACACAGGGGUUGGAUGAACCUGCUUACACCCUGGGCCCUUCCCUAGGGCUUCAAGGUUCUGGCUGGCCUGAUGGUGGGGUGGCCCUGAUAGGCUGUGUGGCAGCAGUGGGAGGCAGGCACAGGCUCAGGGUUGCUUUUGAAUGGCCUGAGUAAUUCACUAGUGAUCACAGGGGAGAAGUAAUAGCUAAGCUGGGGAUUAAAGCGAGAUCCCCUGUAUUCUUAUAAGCGCCACAAGGGAAAAGCUUCUGCACCAUUUUUUGGAGGUGGGACCAGGAUUGAGGUGGUGAUGAUGAAAACGUACCUAUCAACUAAAUCAAAACCGACCACUCAAAAACACCAACAACACAUUUUUAUGAGCAAUUGUGUUCAUUAUCUUAAAGAAGGAGGAAAUCCCAUAAUUCUGUGCAAAGUCUGUGCCUGAAGUGAUUAGCCACCAGUUCUUGCCAGUGGGAAAUUCUUCAGUGGGUGCAAAAGGAGGCAAAAAAUGUUGAGGAAUGCAACUGUACCCCACAAAAUGUGUCUCAGUGGAUCUAGAAAAGAAGAGCAGAGCUAACUAGAGCAGCAAGAUACACUGACUUUAUGCCAGACCCCUUGGCUGCAGCCUGCUGCAGAGGUACUUUAAGUUGCCAUCCUCAUGAGGAGUUCU